UUCCAGACCCCUCGCUCAGCCACUUCCCUCCUCCACCGCUCAUCCACCCCAGGCCAUGGUGAAGGAAUGUGGUUCCGAUUGGGUGCCCUCGUUUCCUCACCAGCCGUCAUGCGAAAUUCCCCGACAGCAUCUGCACCCGGUGCGUCGAAGGCCAGGUCCUCUUCACCAUCUACAUAUUCCCCUUCUUUGAGCGACGACAAGAGAUCUUCUGCUGGAAUUGCCAACAGGUGUUCUCCCAAGGUAGUCCACAAUAUCGUGUCAAAGUUCAGCGAAUUCAAGAAGGAACUAGUCCGUGACAUUGGAUUUGGAGGGUUACUAGAACUCCGGUGCAUCUCCAAGGUAAAUCUGAAGCUCUCUGCUUGGUUGCUUAGUAGGUUGGAUACACACGAAAGUUGCUUGGUGUUUUCUGAGUCUCGUCGCAUAUACGUGCACGAGAAGGACAUCGGUAUUGUGUUUGGAAUCCCUUGCGGGGACAUAGAUAUGUCCUGCGUAGAUAUCUCACCUGAACAGUUAGAUGAUAUAAGGAACACAUGUGGACUUUGUGGCAAGGAUUCCCGCAGCUUCAAAUCACUUGAGUAUGUGCUGCAAAAACACAUCGAUGAUAGGUCCUCACGCCUGGAGCUUGACCGAUUCAAAUCUCAUUUGUGAUCUUUGUUAUGGGACGCCUGCUCGCUCCUUCCGCCAAUCACAACCACGGCAACUGUGACUUUUGGGCUGCUCUUAAGGAUACUGAGAUGAUUUAUCGGUUUAAUUGGUGUCGUUAUGUGUACUCAUAUGUAAUGGAGGCCGCGUAGAAGGCUAGGCACGAGAUGCUUGUCAUGGGCCGUGUAAUGUCUCUUUUCGGUUGCCAUCUUUUUCUUCAGGUUCUUUUCCUGGACAAUGUUGAUCUCCGAAAACUAAACAAGAAUCACAAUGUACUGCCGCGUAUCAAGGUAUUCGAUCAGGAUUCUCUACGACGCAUGACCCUAAUGUGUUUGUUCUGUGGUGAAGCCAAUUAUUUGUCGUUCAUCGGGUUUAAUAUACACUGUCCUACUAAUAUGUUCCCACUUGUUUUUUUUUACUUUGUACCUUGGCAAUAUAUACAUUAUUUGCUUGUCAUACAACAUCUAACUGCCACUUGUUUUAUCGUCUUCGCGUGUAGGUACGGUCCAAAGAAUCCAGUGUAUACAUAAGACACACUUUUCAGUUCGAUGCACAUGUACUUGUUGAAAGUCGUAUCGCUACCAAGAUUGUCAUACACAGAGUAGCCACACACUAAUAAAAUAAAAUAAUAUUCCUCCACUAUCACGUACAAUAAAUUAAAAUGUACCACAUAUUCAUAAUGCAUAGGUACCGGACUGUUCUUUCUCUCUUCAUUUCCUGUAUUUAUUUCAAUAUAAACUGGGGUACAGCAUUUGUUUUAA